CCUAGGGUAUUGCGAGAUGCACUAUUUCGCAAUGGGUUUAGUGUUCCCCAAGGUCAUUAUUACUUAUGUGAUGCUGGAUAUAUGAAUUGUGAAGGAUUUUUGACACCUUAUAGAGGACAAAAAUAUCAUUUGAGUGAGUUUAAUCCACAUAAUCAACCCAGUACAGCUCAAGAGUUUUUUAAUAUGAAACACUCACAAGCUAGGAAUGUCAUUGAAAGGGCAUUUGGAGUAUUGAAAGCAAGAUGGGGAAUUUUAAGGGGAAGAUCAUUUUAUCCUAUUAAGACUCAAGGAAGAAUUAUAACUGCUUGUUGCCUUUUGCAUAAUCAUAUUAGAAGAGUGAUGGUUGUGGAUCCUAUUGAUGAGACAGAAGAUCAAAAUAUACUUGGAGUAGAUGGUGAGACGAUCCACCAUAUUGAAACGAGUGAUGCUUGGGGUAGAUGGAGAGAUCAACUUGCACAAGAAAUGUGGAACCAAUGGAGGAGAAGACAUCACGCUCGAUAAUUGUAAUAAUUUUUCUAUGUGUAAGGUUGUCUGUCGUAACAUUGAUUUCAUUUUGUUUAUGUGUUUGUGUUCUUGUAUAAGAGUUGUGCAUGUAUGCUUAUUAGUGCAAGUAAUUUUUUACUUUUGAGACUUCUUUGUAACUUUCAUUUGGAUAAUAGUAAUGUUUCUUUAGUGAAUUUAA